rnacentral:lncRNA from 10 species
UUUCAAGCCAGGAUUUAGUCAGUCUUCACACAUUGUAUUUGACUGUCUCUUUAAAUCCAGAACAGUCUCCCUCUUUUUUUUACAAAUGAUCUUUUUUUUUUUUUUUCAGACAGGGUCUUGCUGUGUUACCCCGGAUGGAAUACAGUGGCACAAUCAUAGCUCACUGCAGCCUCAACUUUCUGGACUCAAUUGAUCCUCCCACCUCAGCCUCCACAGUAGCUGGGACUACAGGCGUGCACCACCAUGUCCAGCAAAUUCUUUAAUUUUUUGUAAAGACAGGGUCUCACUGUGUUGCCCAGGCUGGUCUGGAACUCCUGGACUCAAGUGAUCCUCCCACCUUGCCCUCCCGAAGUAUUUGGUUUACAGGCAUGAGCCACUCCUCCUGACCAGACACUGAUUUUUUGAAAAGAUCAAAUUAGGGGUCUUGCAGAUUAUCUCACAUUCUGGAUUUAUCUCAUUGCUUCAUCAUAGUGUCUAUUAAUUUGUUCCUUUAUCUUAUUUCCUGUAAACUGAAGUUAGGUCUGAAGGCUUGACUGUGAAUUAAACAUUUUUGGCAAGAAUAUUUCAUAGGUGGUGAUGUCAGAUUAGUUUUUAUUAGUAAAAUUAAGCUUAACUAGCUAAAGUGGUGAGCAGGGGUGUUUUGUUUUGUUUUGUUUUUUGUUUU